rfam:Rhizoctonia solani 123E scf_398, whole genome shotgun sequence.
GACGGCUUAGCAAAGUGGUUACUGCGAUUGAUUAGAAAUCAAUUCCUCUCUGAGGGCGUAGGUUCGAGUCCUACAGUCGUCG